rnacentral:rRNA from 1 species
GAUAAACGCUGGCGGCGUGCCUAAUGCAUGCAAGUCGCACGGAGUCAUCUUUCGGGUGAUUGAGUGGCGAACGGGUGAGGAACGCGUGGACAACCUCCCGCGUGGGGAGUACCGCCAGAAAUGCGGCUAAUAACGCGUACGGUCCAGGGNGGACGGGCUCCCUGGAAGGAAAAGCAAGUGAUGCGCGCUGGGAGGGGUCGUCGCGG